ACAACAGAGAGAUGGACAACAUUGGGUUACACAAUGCUGGAGGAACUUACGGGUGGAGGGUUAAAGUUUUGUUUUAGAUUAAAGAUAGAGGGGAGAUGGCCAGCAUAAAGAUUAGAUUAGCAUUAGACUGACGGUGGGAGGGAGAUGGCCAGUAUAAAGAUUAGAUUAGUAUUGGACCAGCGGUGGGAGGGAGGUGGCCAGCAUAAAGAUUAGAUUAGUUUUGGACCAACGGUGGGAGGGAGGUGGCCAGUAUAAAGAUUAGAUUAGUUUUGGAUUGACGGUGGGAGGGAGCUGGCCAGCAUAAAGAUUAGAUUAGUUUUGGACCAACGGUGGGAGGGAGGUGGCCAGUAUAAAGAUUAGAUUAGCAUGAGACUGACGGUGGGAGGGAGAUGGCCAGCAUAAAGAUUAGAUUAGUUUUGGACCAACGGUGGGAGGGAGGUGGCCAGCAUAAAGAUUAGAUUAGCAUUAGACUGACGGUGGGAGGGAGAUGGCCAGCAUAAAGAUUAGAUUAGUUUUGGACUGACGGUGGGAGGGAGAUGGCCAGUAUAAAGAUUAGAUUAGUUUUGGACCAACGGUGGGAGGGAGGUGGCCAGCAUAAAGAUUAGAUUAGCAUUAGACUGACGGUGGGAGGGAGGUGGCCAGCAUAAAGAUUAGAUUAGCAUUAGACUGACGGUGGGAGGGAGGUGGCCAGCAUAAAGAUUAGAUUAGCAUUAGACUGACGGUGGGAGGGAGGUGGCCAGCAUAAAGAUUAGAUUAGCAUUAGACUGACGAUGGGAGGGAGGUGGCCAGCAUAAAGAUUAGAUUAGCAUUAGACUGACGGUGGGAGGGAGGUGGCCAGCAUAAAGAUUAGAUUAGUUUUGGACUGACGGUGGGAGGAAAGUGGCCAGCAUAAAGAUUAGAUUAGCAUUAGACUGACGGUGGGAGGGAGGUGGCCAGCAUAAAGAUUAGAUUAGCAUUAGACUGACGGUGGGAGGGAGGUGGCCAGCAUAAAGAUUAGAUUAGUUUUGAACUGACGGUGGGAGGGAGAUGGCCAGCAUAAAGAUUAGAUUAGCAUUAGACUGACGGUGGGAGGGAGGUGGCCAGCAUAAAGAUUAGAUUAGCAUUAGACUCACGGUGGGAGGGAGAUGGCCAGCAUAAAGAUUAGAUUAGUUUUGGACUGACGGUGGGAGGGAGGUGGCCAGCAUAAAGAUUAGAUUAGUUUUGGACUGACGGUGGGAGGGAGGUGGCCAGCAUAAAGAUUAGAUUAGUUUUGGACUGACGGUGGGAGGGAGGUGGCCAGCAUAAAGAUUAGAUUAGCAUUAGACUGACGGUGGGAGGGAGAUGGCCAGUAUAAAGAUUAGAUUAGCAUUAGACUGACGGUGGGAGGGAGGUGGCCAGUAUAAAGAUUAGAUUAGUUUUGGACCAACGGUGGGAGGGAGAUGGCCAGCAUAAAGAUUAGAUUAGUUUUGGACCAACGGUGGGAGGGAGGUGGCCAGCAUAAAGAUUAGAUUAGUUUUGGACCAACGGUGGGAGGGAGCUGGCCAGCAUAAAGAUUAGAUUAGUUUUGGACCAACGGUGGGAGGGAAGUGGACAGCAUAAAGAUUAGAUUAGUUUUGGACCAACGGUGGGAGGGAGCUGGCCAGCAUAAAGAUUAGAUUAGUUUUGGACCAACGGUGGGAGGGAAGUGGACAGCAUAAAGAUUAGAUUAGUUUUGGACCAACGGUGGGAGGGAGGUGGCCAGUAUAAAGAUUAGAUUAGUUUUGGACCAACGGUGGGAGGGAGGUGACCAGUAUAAAGAUUAGUUUAGUUUUGGACCAACGGUGGGAGGGAGGUGGCCAGCAUAAAGAUUAGAUUAGUUUUGGACUGACGGUGGGAGGGAGAUGGCCAGCAUAAAGAUUAGAUUAGCAUUAGACUGACGGUGGGAGGGAGGUGGCCAGCAUAAAGAUUAGAUUAGCAUUAGACUCACGGUGGGAGGGAGAUGGCCAGCAUAAAGAUUAGAUUAGUUUUGGACUGACGGUGGGAGGGAGAUGGCCAGCAUAAAGAUUAGAUUAGUUUUGGACUGACGGUGGGAGGGAGGUGGCCAGCAUAAAGAUUAGAUUAGUUUUGGACUGACGGUGGGAGGGAGGUGGCCAGCAUAAAGAUUAGAUUAGCAUUAGACUGAUGGUGGGAGGGAGAUGGCCAGUAUAAAGAUUAGAUUAGCAUUAGACUGACGGUGGGAGGGAGGUGGCCAGUAUAAAGAUUAGAUUAGUUUUGGACCAACGGUGGGAGGGAGGUGGCCAGUAUAAAGAUUAGAUUAGCAUUAGACUGACGGUGGGAGGGAGGUGGCCAGUAUAAAGAUUAGAUUAGUUUUGGACCAACGGUGGGAGGGAGAUGGCCAGCAUAAAGUUUAGAUUAGUUUUGGACCAACGGUGGGAGGGAGGUGGCCAGUAUAAAGAUUAGAUUAGUUUUGGACCAACGGUGGGAGGGAGGUGGCCAGUAUAAAGAUUAGUUUAGUUUUGGACCAACGGUGGGAGGGAGGUGGCCAGCAUAAAGAUUAGAUUAGUUUUGGACCAACGGUGGGAGGGAGGUGGCCAGCAUAAAGAUUAGAUUAGCAUUAGACUGACGGUGGGAGGGAGAUGGCCAGCAUAAAGAUUAGAUUAGUUUUGGACCAACAGUGGGAGGGAGGUGGCCAGCAUAAAGAUUAGAUUAGCAUUAGACUGACGGUGGGAGGGAGGUGGCCAGCAUAAAGAUUAGAUUAGCAUUAGACUGACGGUGGGAGGGAGAUGGCCAGCAUAAAGAUUAGAUUAGCAUUAGACUGACGGUGGGAGGGAGGUGGCCAGCAUAAAGAUUAAAUUAGCAUUAGACUGACGGUGGGAGGGAGGUGGCCAGCAUAAAGAUUAGAUUAGCAUUAGACUGACGGUGGGAGGGAGGUGGCCAGUAUAAAGAUUAGAUUAGCAUUAGACUGACUGUGGGAGGGAG